rnacentral:rRNA from 1 species
AUUGAACGCUGGCGGCAGGCCUAACACAUGCAAGUCGAACGGUAACAGGAAACAGCUUGCUGUUUCGCUGACGAGUGGCGGACGGGUGAGUAAUGUCUGGGAAACUGCCUGAUGGAGGGGGAUAACUACUGGAAACGGUAGCUAAUACCGCUUAACGUCGCAAGACCAAAGUGGGGGACCUUCGGUCCUCAGGCCAGCAGAUGUGACCAGAUGGGAUUAGCUAGUAGGUGGGGUAACGGCUCACCUAGGCGACGAUCCCUAGCUGGUCUGAGAGGAUGACCAGCCACACUGGAACUGAGACACGGUCCAGACUCCUACGGGAGGCAGCAGUGGGGAAUAUUGCACAAUGGGCGCAAGCCUGAUGCAGCCAUGCCGCGUGUGUGAAGAAGGCCUUCGGGUUGUAAAGCACUUUCAGCGGGGAGGAAGGCGGUGAGGUUAAUAACCUCAUCGAUUGACGUUACCCGCAGAAGAAGCACCGGCUAACUCCGUGCCAGCAGCCGCCGUAA